rnacentral:misc_RNA from 1 species
ACUUAGUAAAACUACACAAAAUUUGGUUCAAAAAUGGGAUAACUGUAAUCAUUUGAAUGUCAGAAUCUGAGCUGUAAAGAGAGAAUACACAAUAAAUGGUUUUAUAUUUUUGUUCAUCCAAAUUUCAUAGAUAUAAAUAUUUACUCAAAUAGUGCUAUCUAAUAGAAAAUUCAAAAUUAAGAAGUGUAAACAAAAGAAUAAAUGCACAAUAUUUGCUCAGCCAUGUAUUUCACAAUGAAUUUUCAUAAAAUCAAUAACCAAUGUAAUAGGCACUUCUCAAUUUUCUCAUUUCUGCAAAAGAAAUCCAUGGACAUGCUUCCACACAUUCAAGUAGAUGCAAUCCUCAAUUUUAUCUUUCUUAUUUCUCUGUCAAUCUAGAAAGUCUCAUAUCUCCUGUCCAACAAGAAUGAGAAAAUGUCUAUUUAUUAGGGUUUAGAUACUUACUUAUACAAAUGUUGCAUGACAUAGCCCCAUGGACCAUGAGCAGCAUGCACUACUCGGAUCAUUCUGUUACUAAUAUUUAUCUCUAAGCAAUACUUCUGUAAAAUUUCAAUUAUAGUAGAGUAUUUGUCUAAGUAUUCCCUUUUUUUAUUAAUUUUACCUACUUGCUCGAACAAAUGUUGCAUGAUAUAGCUACAUGGACCAUAAGCAGCAUCCACUACUCAGAUCAUUCUCUUACUAGUAUUUAUCCCCCAGCAAUUCUUCCUCCUGUAAAAAUUCAAUAUCAUCCGAAGUCCAGUCCCGAUGACAAAUAGAGUAUUUCUCUGUGUUCCUUUUUUUUUUAUUUGGGAUAUAAAUUUGCUUUCAUCUUAUGAAGAAAAAGAGUAUCCAAUAACUGGAUCAACAAUCAAUAAAAUUCUUUUAAGUCUGUAACACUCCAUACCCCAGAUUCACAGAAACAACAGUUAACAGGCGAAAAUUCAUCUUUUUUUCUUGUUAAAGAAAAUCCUUAUAUGUUGCAAUUACAUACAACCACUUUUGCCAAACAAUUAGCAUAUCAAAAAGUAACAAAUUGUAAUGAUCUUUCCCUGUCUUGUCAAGGUUCCAGCAUGGACAAAAAAGAUACAUCAAUCAACCCACCCAGAUCCAACAAAUGGAAAAUCAAAUUAAAUCCCAUAUUUGGAGUUUUGCACAUACAAUAUUCGCCGGUCACAGUCUCACAGCAAUAACCAAUUGAUCUUAUUGAGCCCAUUAACAAAACCAAUCAUGGUAAAUACGUGUGAGAGUGAAGAAGAAUAUCCCUAGAGUUAGAGCUACCCAUACUAUCCACUAAACCCUUCCUGCAACCCCCCAAAAAGAGAUAAAAAAAUGAUAAAUAAUAUCCAUCAAUCAUAUCGAUGAAAUCCAAGAAUACCCUUUAAAUGGCCAUAUUUCCCAGACGCUGGAACCAAACAUUCUUCAGGCAUUUAAACGAAGAAAAUUAACUAAUUAAAUCAGUAAAUAUAAUAGGCCAAUUGAAAACUCGCAGCGCUCAAAUGCCAAGGCACUCUUUUAAUCCAUUAAAUUCCAAGACUAUUUAACCAAAUCCAAUCGAUCAAAUCCUCAGAAUGUAUCAGAUUAUAAAAACACAUACAAACACAAACACAGUUUUACCCACAACCAUUUAACAAAAAAGAAAGAAAACCCACCAAUGCAAUCCCUGUGCUUGCUCCAACCAAAAGCUUUUAACACAAUUUAACCCACUAAAUUCCUCAUUCCCACAAACAGACCCACCAAUUAAUCGCUGAAUAAACACAAUAGCCACAGUAAUAACAUAACCAUAGUUAAAAGAUAGCAAACCACUCUAAUCAAAUCCCGUAUAAAAACAAACAAAACCCAGCAAUACAAUCAUUGAACACAUACCAAAACUCUACACAUAAAAGCGAGAAAAUUAGAAAUGGGAAGAACUUACACUGAAAGACCGACGAAUCGAUCAAUCAAUGAAUCAGUGGCCGUGCUCCUUAGCAUGCUGCUGGUGCUCGAGGUGGCGGCGCUCCUCCGGAAGAGCAACAAGGUAGGAAAAAAUCAUGCCACCGAAGCAGAUAUGGUAGAGAGGAUCAAUGGAGCUGGUCUCAAUGUACUUGGCUUGGUAAUUGUCCAAACCUUUCUGCACCGAUUUCUUCACGUAAUCGAUCGAUAGCAUCGGCUUUACGUAGUUGGGCACUUCCUUCAGUUUCAACCCCUUUAUCUCGCUGUAGAACUUCCUCAGCGCCAUUUCCUUCGAAAUUUUUAGAUAAAAUUGGGAGUUAAUUGAUGAAAGAGACUCGCAAACCCUAACCCCAGAUAUAUAAAUUGGGGAUCUGAAUAGAGAGAGACGACCUCGGACGAUUGGCACUGAAUAGUUAUGCCCUUGUAAUUGCCUCUAGUUAGAAGCGAAUUUAUGAAACGCCAAAAAGGAUGUUCAAUCAAACACCAGCCUUCCAAGGGCAAACGACCUUGUGAAUUUAAAAGUAAAUCCUACAAGGAAAAGGUUUACAUAUGCUGUAUAUGCUGCCUACCAAAGGAUUCCACCGUACUAUUCUCACUCAUCAUCUAUAACCUGUAUUGGCUCACUAUGGAUUGGGUUCGCAGGAAGUGCUUGGGGAAGGAUUCCAUGGCUCUGUCUUCUUGGCCAUACCAAUCAAUAUUAUUUUGUCACCGCUUGCUGUGAAGGCUGCACUGAUAAUAGAUUCUCUCUGCAGAAAAAAUUGAAGACUUUGAAAGUGUUAUUCAAUGCUACGGGAAUUGUUUA